GUAGGGAAUAUUGGACAAUGGGGGGAACCCUGAUCCAGCCAUGCCGCGUGGAGGAAGACUGCCCUCUGGGUUGUAAACUCCUUUUAUAUGGGAAGAACCGUCCUCAUUAAUGAGUGACCUGACGGUACCAUAGGAAUAAGCACCGGCUAACUCCGUGCCAGCAGCCGCGGUAAUACGGAGGGUGCAAGCGUUAUCCGGAUUCACUGGGUUUAAAGGGUGCGUAGGCGGAUAAAUAAGUCAGUGGUGAAAUCAACGGGCUCAACCUGUUAACGGGCAUUGAUACAGUGUAUCUUGAAUAUGAGAGAGGUAGGCGGAAUGUUGCAUGUAGCGGUGAAAUGCUUAGAUAUGCUACGGAACACCGAUUGCGAAGGCAGCUGACUAUUUCGUAAUUGACGCUGAGGCACGAAAGCGUGGGUAGCGAACAGGAUUAGAAACCCUAGUAGUCC
rnacentral:rRNA from 1 species